AUUCGCCCUUAGAGUUUGAUCCUGGCUCAGGACGAACGCUGGCGGCGUGCUUAACACAUGCAAGUCGAACGGAGGUUACGAGGAAGCUUGCGAAUUGUAACCUUAGUGGCGGACGGGUGAGUAACGCGUGGAUAACCUGCCUGACAGACCGGGACAACACCGGGAAACUGGUGCUAAUACCGGAUACGCUCAAGAGUGCCCAUGCACACUUGAGGAAAGGAGCAAUCCGCUGACAGAUGGGUCCGCGUCCCAUUAGCUAGUUGGAGGUGUAAAGGACCACCAAGGCGACGAUGGGUAGCCGGCCUGAGAGGGUGGACGGCCACACUGGAACUGAGACACGGUCCAGACUCCUACGGGAGGCAGCAGUGGGGAAUCUUCCGCAAUGGGCGAAAGCCUGACGGAGCAACGCCGCGUGAGUGAUUAAGGCCUUCGGGUUGUAAAACUCUGUCAUCAGGGAAGAAAAUAAUGACGGUACCUGAGGAGGAAGCCCCGGCUAACUACGUGCCAGCAGCCGCGGUAAAACGUAGGGGGCGAGCGUUGUCCGGAAUUACUGGGCGUAAAGGGCGCGUAGGCGGUUGUCCAAGUCAGAGGUGAAAACUCUGGGCCCAACUCAGAGCGUGCCUCUGAAACUGGGCGACUUGAGGGCAGGAGAGGGGAGUGGAAUUCCCAGUGUAGCGGUGAAAUGCGUAGAUAUUGGGAGGAACACCAGUGGCGAAGGCGACUCUCUGGCCUGUUUCUGACGCUGAGGCGCGAAAGCGUGGGGAGCGAACGGGAUUAGAUACCCCGGUAGUCCACGCCGUAAACGAUGGGUACUAGGUGUAGGAGGUAUCGACCCCUUCUGUGCCGUAGCUAACGCAUUAAGGAACCGCCUGGG
rnacentral:rRNA from 1 species